rnacentral:rRNA from 1 species
GCACGGCAACACCGCUGGUUCACGCCCCGAUCUCGUUUGAUCUCGGAAGCUAAGAUAGGUUGGGCCUGGUUAGUACUUGGAUGGGAGACUGCCUGGGAAUCCAGGUGCUGUAAGCU